rnacentral:antisense_RNA from 1 species
CAAUAGGAGAAAAAACAGGCAAGAAAGAGCACAGCACACGAGCAUCUGAAGAAAAAGUGGAAAUGUUACUGUAAUAAAAGCGGAAAUAAAUUUCUACACAGCUUCUUUAGAAAUGGUCCGGGAGAGAGACAGAAGAAGUAAAAGGAUGAGGCCAUAUCCCAGAAGCCAAGAAGGCAGAUUCUGUCAAAGAGGGUGACAGGGUGCCCUACACUGUAAAAUGCUUCAAACAGAUUUAGGAGAGUGAGGACCAAAAAGCUGUGACCUUGACAACCAGAAAUUAACAGUGACCUUUGAGGAAACAGUUUUCUCAAGGUGUGGAAAUGGAAGUCAGAAUGCAAAGAGUUGAGGAGCAAGUGGAUGGUGGUGAAGCCAACCUAUUCUUUAAUUAACCAGGGUCAAUGUCCUUUAAAAGUCUUCAGAAUGCCUGUAAGUUUCCUUUACUAGUUCCAUGUACUUUCUUGUUUUCCCAUAAAAAUCUGGAUUUUUGGCAGAAGAGAAUGAAAAAAAUUAAAAAUUAAAAACGCUGCUUUUCCUUAAGCACUGACAAAAUACAAUAAAAGCUGAUUCUUAUUAA